UACACGCUGUGACUAGCAUAUCAAUAAGCGGAGGAAAAGAAACUAACAAGGAUUCCCUUAGUAACGGCGAGUGAAGCGGGAAGAGCUCAAAUUUGAAAUCUUGAAAGGUCACCUUUCACGAAUUGUAGUUUAAAGAAGUGUUUUCUGUUACGAUCGUAAUAUAAGUUCUUUGGAAUAGGACAUCACAGAGGGUGAGAAUCCCGUCUAUGAUUGCGAUUUGUAGCUUUGUGAUACACUUUCAAAGAGUCGGGUUGUUUGGGAAUGCAGCCCAAAACGGGAGGUAAAUUUCUUCUAAGGCUAAAUAUUGGCGAGAGACCGAUAGCGAACAAGUACCGUGAGGGAAAGAUGAAAAGAACUUUGAAAAGAGAGUUAAAUAGUACGUGAAAUUGUCAAAAGGGAAGCGUUUAACACCAGUGUUGUUUUCUGAAAAUCAACCUCUGUUAGCUUUAUGCAUGUUUGUUUAGACCUAAUCAGCUAUCUUGCAUGUUCUAGUUGUUUGCAGUGGUGCACUUUUCAGUUUACAGGUCAACAUCAGUUUUUUUUACCGUAAAAAAGUUAAAGAAAGGUAGCUCAUGGCUCCGGUCGUGAGUGUUAUAGUCUUUUUCCUAUGCGGUAGGAGAGACUGAGGUCUGCAGUGUAGGCUAUUUGGCUAGAUACUCAGGUGCUAUGUGAUACCAUUUCAUAAACAACUUGUUGAUUAUGUUUUGUCUAUUGCAUACUCGCUUGUACUAUCAUACCUACGCUUAGGAUGUUGAGUAGCGACAUACGCAC
rnacentral:rRNA from 1 species